rnacentral:pre_miRNA from 1 species
UACUUAUUCUCUCCGUUUCAUAAUUCUUGUCGAAAUAUUACAUGUAUCUAGACGCUUUUUAGGAAUAGAUACAUCUAUUUUUGGACAAAUUUGAGACAAGAAUUAUGAGACGGAAGGAAUACUAA